rnacentral:lncRNA from 1 species
UGCCAGAUUCUACAUACUCUUAAUUAUUUCCAAAAAAUCUUUUUCUAUAGUUACCAUUAUUAUUAUUCAUGUUACUGUCAUGCUUGAAAAUGCAUCUGUAACUCCACUUCCAGGAGAUAUGGCUCCCUUUUCUGAUCUUUGGGCAUACAAGGCAUGCAUGUGGUGCACAUACAUGCAUGCAGGGAAGACACUCAUGCAUAUAGAGUGAGUGAAUCUAAAUGUAAAUGUUUUGGAUAAUAAGCUAAAGCCAGUGUGGUGGUACAUGCUCGUAAUCCUAGCACUGGGAGGCUGAGGAAGGAGUUCUACUUGGAGGUAUCUUGAUUUUUUUUUCCCUUCCCUUUCCCCCAGCUGGAGUCUUCUGUGCGAUCGUCUCCCACCCUGCUGACUCUGUGGUCUCUGUGCUGAAUAAAGAGAAAGGCAGCACCGCGUCUCAGGUCCUGCAGAGGCUGGGCUUCAGAGGUGAGUCAGGCUCCCCUGAGACAGCAGCUCACUGUGCGCGUGGGGAGGUAGGUGGCGCUCGGGCACUCAUGUCUCCUCUCUGAACCAGGUGUGUGGAAGGGGCUCUUCGCCCGAAUCAUCAUGAUUGGCACUCUGACUGCACUACAGUGGUUCAUCUACGACUCUGUGAAGGUCUACUUCAGGCUCCCUCGCCCUCCUCCCCCUGAGAUGCCAGAGUCUCUGAAGAAGAAGCUUGGGUUAACUGAGUAGAUACAUCAAAGUAACAUGGACUGAAUCUGCUUGUUGAUCAGUGUUGAAAGUGCAAAGGAACUUUUAUAUAUUUGACAGUGUAGGAAAUGUCUGUUCCUGAUAUAAUUACUGUAGUACCCUUGCUUAAAGCAAGAGUUUCAAACUUAAUGCUAAAUAAACCCAUCUAUUCCUGAUGUCUAUGAGUUUGUUAUUUUAAAAACUAGUAUUGAAAAAAGAUUUAGUCCUAAAACAAAAAGAAUAAUUAAGGUAUUCACCCCAGGAAAAAAGUGUAAACUAAGUAAACCAUUGGUGCUAUUCCUAAAUUGUCCCCUCACUUAAGAAACUCCUGUGUUUAGGAAAUAGUCUUGGGUUUUCAAAAACAUGGUUUAUUAAAUAUGGAUAAACACUGAAUUGUAGUUUUAUUUUUUUGACAAGCUAAUUUUAGUAUAGCAAAUUUUUGUCUCAUGUUCACUUUUUAAUGCUAGUGGGCCUAUUGGUCUGUGUUUGUAAAAGGGCACCCAGAUUAGGCUCAUUCUUAAAAUGAUAGUUAAGGACCAAAGCAGGAUUGCUAAAAAGACUAAGGUGACCUACUUUUCACACAACCAGACUGGAUGGAAUGUCAGCAGUUUGCAGUUUUGUUUUUAUUUAUUUAGUUUUUUAUGGGAAAGGCUGCUAGACAACUGAGCGAAGCUGGAGAUGCAGCCUCAGGCAUACUCCUGAGGUUUAGCCCAGCUUUUAAAGCUGCACAGAUGUUCAGGUUCCUGCUUGUUUAUUCAGAAAUACAAAGGCCCAGUUUAUGUUUCCUGAUUUUUGCCUUCAAGUUCUUGCUAUUUGGAGAGAGCUAACAAUCUCUACAUAAGAUACACAUAUAAUGUGUGUGUGUGUGUGCGCGCGCGCGCGCGUGUGUGUGUAUAAGGGGAGGGUGUCGGGUAAUCCAAGAAUUCAGGUGAUCCUCCUGCCUCAGCUUCCUGGGAUUAUAGAUAAGAGCCACUACAGCUUGUUUCUGCAAGAAUUCCAAUAGAAAUGCUUUCUUUCAUUACCAAUCUGUUUUCUAAGAACAUUGAACCAAGUUUCGUGUUGUACAUUUAGUUAGCUGCAUGUUAAAUGUACACCUGUACUGAAGUUCUAGGGAGGGUUAUUAGGUUUGAAAUUGUUAGGUGAAACUUUUUGAAGUAUCCGUUGAGCUAUCUGGGUCUUACAUCUUUUCAUUUGCCUGGGCUAGAAAGGUUCCCUUCCAGCAUAUUAAGCAUAUUAUUCUGCAUGGUGGUUCCAGGGCAGCUGGGUCUUGAGUAGCUUUUAAGGCUUCCAGUAAAAGCAAGGCUGAAGUUCAUUUAGGACUUGACUUUCAGUGGUGGCGCAUGCCUUUAAUCCCAGCACUUGGGAGGCAGAGGCCAGCCUGGUCUACAGAGUGAGUUCCAGGACAGCCAGGACUGCACUUUGUCUUGACAAAACAAACAAAAAAAAACCAAAAAAACAAAAAAAGAGAGAAAACAUCUACUACAAAUACCAAAUAC